AGGUUUAAGGGUGAUCUGGCUGCGACAUCUGUCACCCCACUGAUCGCCUGGGUCGAUUCGGCUGAUCUGGCUGGCUAGGCGGGUGUCCCCUUCCUCCCUCACCACUCUAUGUGCGUCCCUCCCAAAGCUGCACUCACGGUCGAAGAGGACAGCCUUCCCCAAAUGGAGACGGAUCUUUCUUCGGUCCAGGGUGUAUGAGUACCUGGCUCUCCUGCUAGAACCUCCAAACAAGUUCUCAAGGUCCAUUUGUAGAAGAACAUAGGGUAGUCACGCUUCCAAGACUCCAGACACAUCCAAAUGAGCGCUGCAUGUGGCAGUCUGCCUUUCUU
ensembl:misc_RNA 7SK 7SK RNA